rnacentral:lncRNA from 1 species
GUAUAUUAUCCUUUCAGCUUCAAUAUCUUUAACUGCACAUGAGAGAAUCGAGUUGCCAUCACAGCAGGAUUACUGAUUGGACAGAAAGAAGCACUUCCUGUGGUGAUGUCGGGACCACACGGCACCUUCUAACACUCCCAAAGAGAGAGAGAGAGAGAGAGAGAAUGGAUGAGACAGUAUGUGCAAUCUCAUGUCUUAAUUCACCAUACAUGUAAACAUUUCUAGAGCAAAACUAAUGUCAAGGCUGGUAUUUUUUUGUGUGUGACCUGAGUCAGUAAAUAUAAUCCAAGCCAAAACAAAAGAGGAAACCAUGCCCCACAAUGGGUGGUUGGAGAGAAGGGGAUAUUGGUAAACCAGCCUCUGAAUCAUCAUCCACUAAGUCUGAGUCCUUCUACUAUUUAGAAGUCAUUGUCACUUCGUAUUGGUUCUCAUUCAAAAUCAAAUCCCCUGCUGGCAUCCAUUGAGUAUGUUGAGGUGGAGGAUGUGGAAGUGGAAAAUAUGCAACAAAAGCAGCCUAAGCCACCAAGGAAUGGGGACAAGGAGUAGGAGGCUAGGAAGCUAAAAGCUUUGUAACCCAAAGUAACAGCUGUAAUCAACAGCAGGUAGAGUGGUAGGCCUCUUUCUAAACACAUGCUGCUGAAACCUUCCAUAGACCUUUCUGUUCUUCUGCUAUUGGAAAUAAGCCCCUCCCCUCAACAAACGGACAGUGAUAUGGAUGGAGACUGUCAUGAAGAGGAGGUGGUAUCUGAAGAUAGUAUAAAAACCUCCGGUUCCUGAGGGGACACAGAACAGCAAUGAAAGUGAAGAAUACUACUCUGAUGACAGUGUGUUACCCUUUCUCAAGCCAGCAAAGAAACACAAAAUAAUCAUAUUGUAUAAGAAAAGGCCACAGAAACAAAUCCAAGCUUUGAUUUCCAGUCAAAGUGGAAAACUCCUUUGUUUUGCACUGUUUCUGCCACUAUUCUCUUCACAUGAACAGGAACUUUAUUGUCUUCAAAGUAUCUUUGAGAACUAGUGAAACUCUUUCUGAAGAAGGAACUCAUCAUCA